rnacentral:rRNA from 1 species
CCUACGGGUGGCAGCAGUGAGGAAUAUUGGUCAAUGGGCGCGAGCCUGAACCAGCCAAGUAGCGUGAAGGAUGACGGCCCUACGGGUGGUAAACUUCUUUUAUAAAGGAAUAAAGUGAGGCACGUGUGCCUUUUUGUAUGUAUUUUAUGAAUAAGGAUCGGCUAACUCCGUGCCAGCAGCCGCGGUAAUACGGAGGAUCCGAGCGUUAUCCGGAUUUAUUGGGUUUAAAGGGAGCGUAGAUGGGUUGUUAAGUCAGUUGUGAAAGUUUGCGGGUCAACCGUAAAAUUGGAAUUGAUAAUGGCAGCUGUGAGGACAGUUGAGGUAGGCGGGAAUCGUGGGGGUGCGGUGAAAUGCUUAAAUA